AUACGGGGGGUGCAAACGUUGCUCGGAAUUACUGGGCGUAAAGCGCGUGUAGGCGGAUUGUUAAGUCAGAUGUGAAAGCCCUGGGCUCAACCCGGGAACUGCAUUUGAAACUGGCAGUCUAGAGUGAUGGAGAGGAAAGCGGAAUUCCUGGUGUAGAGGUGAAAUUCGUAGAUAUCAGGAGGAACACCGGUGGCGAAGGCGGCUUUCUGGACAUUUACUGACGCUGAGGCGCGAAAGCGUGGGGAGCAAACAGGAUUAGAAACCCUAGUAGUCC
rnacentral:rRNA from 1 species